rfam:Ovis aries breed Texel chromosome 3, whole genome shotgun sequence.
UCCCUGGCGGUCCAGUUGUUAGAGCUUGGCACUUUCACUGCCAUGGCCCAGGUUCAGUCCCUGGUCAGGGUA